rnacentral:rRNA from 1 species
UACGUAGGGGGCAGGCGUUGUCCGGAAUCAUUGGGCGUAAAGAGCGUGUAGGCGGCUUGGUAAGUCCGCUGUGAAAGUCCAGGGCUCAACCCUGGAAUGCCGGUGGAAACUGUCAAGCUUGAGUCCGGAAGAGGCGAGUGGAAUUCCUGGUGUAGCGGUGAAAUGCGCAGAUAUCAGAAGGAACACCUGUGGCGAAAGCGGCUCACUGGACCAUUACUGACGCUGAUGCACGAAAGCUAGGGGAGCAAACAGG